rnacentral:rRNA from 1 species
UACGUAGGCAGCGAGCGUUGUUCGGAGUUACUGGGCGUAAAGGGUGUGUAGGCGGUUCUUUAAGUUUGGUGUGAAAUCUCCCGGCUCAACCGGGAGGGUGCGCCGAAAACUGGAGGGCUAGAGUGCGGGAAGGGAGAGUAGAAUUCCUGGUGUAGCGGUGAAAUGCGUAGAUAUCAGGAGGAAUACCGGUGGUGUAGACGGCUCUCUGGACCGCGACUGACGCUGAGACACGAAAGCGUGGGUAGCAAACAGG